rnacentral:rRNA from 1 species
UACGUAGGGAGCAAGCGUUGUCCGGAAUUAUUGGGCGUAAAGAGCUCGUAGGCGGUGUGUCGCGUCGGCCGUGAAAACCUGCAGCUUAACUGUGGGCGUGCGGUCGAUACGGGCAUCACUGGAGUUCGGCAGGGGAGACUGGAAUUCCUGGUGUAGCGGUGAAAUGCGCAGAUAUCAGGAGGAACACCGGUGGCGAAGGCGGGUCUCUGGGCCGAUACUGACGCUGAGGAGCGAAAGCGUGGGGAUCAAACAGG